GAUGAACGCUAGCGACAGGCUUAACACAUGCAAGUCGAGGGGCAGCAUAAAAGUAGCAAUACUUUGGUGGCGACCGGCGCACGGGUGAGUAACGCGUAUGCAACCUACCUAUCAGAGGGGGAUAACCCGGCGAAAGUCGGACUAAUACCGCAUAAAACAGGGGCACCGCAUGGUGCUAUUUGUUAAAAAUUUAUUGCUGAUAGAUGGGCAUGCGUUCCAUUAGGUAGUUGGAGAGGUAACGGCUCACCAAGCCAACGAUGGAUAGGGGAACUGAGAGGUUGGUCCCCCACACUGGUACUGAGACACGGACCAGACUCCUACGGGAGGCAGCAGUGAGGAAUAUUGGUCAAUGGGCGAGAGCCUGAACCAGCCAAGUCGCGUGAAGGAAGAAGGAUCUAUGGUUCGUAAACUUCUUUUGCAGGGGAAUAAAGUGCAGGACGUGUCCUGUUUUGUAUGUACCCUGAGAAUAAGGAUCGGCUAACUCCGUGCCAGCAGCCGCGGU
rnacentral:rRNA from 1 species